rnacentral:rRNA from 1 species
AUUGAACGCUGGCGGAAUGCUUUACACAUGCAAGUCGAGCGGCAGCGCGGGGCAACCUGGCGGCGAGCGGCGAACGGGUGAGUAAUACAUCGGAACGUGCCCAGACGUGGGGGAUAACUACUCGAAAGGGUAGCUAAUACCGCAUAUGAUCUAAGGAUGAAAGCGGGGGAUCGCAAGACCUCGCGCGUUUGGAGCGGCGGAUGGCAGAUUAGGUAGUUGGUGGGGUAAAGGCUUACCAAGCCUGCGAUCUGUAGCUGGUCUGAGAGGACGACCAGCCACACUGGGACUGAGACACGGCCCAGACUCCUACGGGAGGCAGCAGUGGGGAAUUUUGGACAAUGGGCGAAAGCCUGAUCCAGCCAUUCCGCGUGCAGGAUGAAGGCCCUCGGGUUGUAAACUGCUUUUGUACAGAACGAAAAAGCUCUGGUUAAGACCUGGAGUCCAUGACGGUACUGUAAGAAUAAGCACCGGCUAACUACGUGCCAGCCGCCGCCGUAAAAC